rnacentral:tRNA from 1 species
GCCCCGAUAGCUCAGCUGGAUAGAGCGUCCCCCUCCUAAGGGGAAGGUCUCAGGUUCGAAUCCUGAUCGGGGCGCCA